AAAUUGAAGAGUUUGAUCAUGGCUCAGAUUGAACGCUGGCGGCAGGCCUAACACAUGCAAGUCGAACGGUAACAGGAAGCAGCUUGCUGCUUUGCUGACGAGUGGCGGACGGGUGAGUAAUGUCUGGGAAACUGCCUGAUGGAGGGGGAUAACUACUGGAAACGGUGGCUAAUACCGCAUAACGUCGCAAGACCAAAGAGGGGACCUUCGGGCCUCUUGCCAUCAGAUGUGCCCAGAUGGGAUUAGCUUGUUGGUGAGGUAACGGCUCACCAAGGCGACGAUCCCUAGCUGGUCUGAGAGGAUGACCAGCCACACUGGAACUGAGACACGGUCCAGACUCCUACGGGAGGCAGCAGUGGGGAAUAUUGCACAAUGGGCGCAAGCCUGAUGCAGCCAUGCCGCGUGUAUGAAGAAGGCCUUCGGGUUGUAAAGUACUUUCAGCGGGGAGGAAGGUGUUGUGGUUAAUAACCACAGCAAUUGACGUUACCCGCAGAAGAAGCACCGGCUAACUCCGUGCCAGCAGCCGCGGUAAUACGGAGGGUGCAAGCGUUAAUCGGAAUUACUGGGCGUAAAGCGCACGCAGGCGGUCUGUCAAGUCGGAUGUGAAAUCCCCGGGCUCAACCUGGGAACUGCAUUCGAAACUGGCAGGCUUGAGUCUUGUAGAGGGGGGUAGAAUUCCAGGUGUAGCGGUGAAAUGCGUAGAGAUCUGGAGGAAUACCGGUGGCGAAGGCGGCC
rnacentral:rRNA from 1 species